rnacentral:rRNA from 1 species
AAGCGCUCAUGACCAGACUUGGGCUUGGUUGAUCAUCCAGGGUUCUCCCUGGUGCACUCUUCCAGCCCAGGCCAGCAUCAGUUCGCUGUGGGGGAUAAAGGCCGCAGGAACGUAGCUCUUCGGAGUGUUAUAGCCUGUGGUGUAAUACCCCCGCCGGGACCGAGGACCGCGCAUUGCAAGGAUGCUGGCGUAAUGGUCAUCAGCGA